rnacentral:rRNA from 1 species
ACUAUGCUUGGCCCUAAACCUCAGUAGUUAGAUAACAAAACUACUCGCCAGAAUACUACGAGCUACAGCUUAAAACUCAAAGGACUUGACGGUGCUUUACACCCCCUAGAGGAGCCUGUUCCGUAAUCGAUAAACCCCGAUCCACCCCACCCUCUCUUGCUCAGCCUAUAUACCGCCAUCUUCAGCAAACCCUAAUGAAGGUCACAAAGUGAGCGCAAACGCCGUCACCGCGAAUACGUUAGGUCAAGGUGUAGCCUAUGAGAUGGUAAAAAAUGGGCUACAUUUUCUACCUCAGAAAAUUCCACGAAAACCCUUAUGAAACCUAAGGGCCCAAGGAGGAUUUAGCAGUAAAUUAAGAAUAGAGUGCUUAAUUGAACCAGGCCAUAAAGCGCGCACACACCGCCCGUCACUCCUCUCAAAUAUAUUUAAGGAACAUCUUAACUAAACGCCCUAAUAUUUAUAUAGAGAGGAUAAGUCGUAACAUGGUAAGCGUACUGGAAGGUGCGCUUGGAUAAAU